rnacentral:tRNA from 1 species
GUGGGGUUGGCAGAGCGGUUGAAUGCGGGGGACUGUAAAUCCCUUCCGAAAGGCACGGUGGUUCAAAUCCAUCACCCCACACCACAGAAUCUUACAGCAAAUAUCUCAUUCGCUUAU